ACUGAAUUCACAGUGUCCCCUUAAGGAAAUUAUUCCCCUCGGGAUACCAAAAACUCUACUGUCAGCGAAUCAAUCCACAGCAGGAAAGUACACGAAGAAAAAAUGUGUUUAUUAAUAAGUAGGAAUAUCAGAAAAUUCGUUAGUAAAUAUUCUGAAGACUGAAUGGUAUUUAUAAACAAGAAUAAUAUAUUCUGAAAGGCAACCCUUUCAGAAUUGACACA
rnacentral:misc_RNA from 1 species